CCUCACUUGCCUGUCCCACCGUGUGGUUUUAGAGUAUAAUAUGAGAAGACAAACUGGACUAGGGAUUGAGACCUUUCAAGAGCCGUCCUGGCUUUGGCUCACUGGGAACAUCUCCUCUCCUCUAUUCUAAGUGGUGUCAGAGUGCUUACCGCAGAAUGAUUACCACAAGACAGUCUCAUCCUGGCGUCUUCUGAGACAGCAAAAAGAAGUCUUGCUGGAACAGACCAGCUGACAAAAUGCUUGCCUUGUCAGCACAAGGACCUGAGUUUGGAUCCCAGAGCCAGGUAAAAAGACAAGGUCUUGCUCAGCUGUCUAAGUUGGCCUGAACUUGAAGUCAUCCUGCCUCAGCCACCUGAGUAACUGGGAAGACAGACCUGGGCUAUCAGGCCUAGAAGGUUUUUGGUUUUGUUUGGUUUGAGUAGAGGCAGAUGUGUGCUGUGGGAGCUCCCUCCACUCUUUCAG